UUCGGUAUAAUCAUGACGGUAAUGUUACAAAUGAUGUGGAAAAAGUCCUCAUUGGCCGUAGUGCAAUGAUGGACAGUUUUUGGUAUGAUUAUGGCUAUGGAUUCUCUUCGGACAAGGGAGCAAAGAUGAAUUGUUUUAUGGCAUGAUCAGGACCGUUGAUGAAAACACAAUUAUCUUUGGCCCGUAGUGCAUGUAUAAUUCGUGGUCGUGACACUAAAUAAUAUCCUUGGCCUAUAGUGCAGGGAUGAAUUGAU
rnacentral:lncRNA from 1 species